GUGCUCACUUCACCAGCACAUAUACUAAAAUUGGAAAGAUACAAAGAAGAUUAGCAUGGCCCCUGCUCAAGGAUGACAUGCAAAUUCAUGAAGCGUUCCAUAAUAAA
rnacentral:snRNA from 3 species